rnacentral:rRNA from 1 species
AUUGAACGCUGGCGGCAUGCCUUACACAUGCAAGUCGAGCGGCAGCACGGGUGCUUGCACCUGGUGGCGAGUGGCGAACGGGUGAGUAAUACAUCGGAACAUGUCCUGUAGUGGGGGAUAGCCCGGCGAAAGCCGGAUUAAUACCGCAUACGAUCUACGGAUGAAAGCGGGGGACCUUCGGGCCUCGCGCUAUAGGGUUGGCCGAUGGCUGAUUAGCUAGUUGGUGGGGUAAAGGCCUACCAAGGCGACGAUCAGUAGCUGGUCUGAGAGGACGACCAGCCACACUGGGACUGAGACACGGCCCAGACUCCUACGGGAGGCAGCAGUGGGGAAUUUUGGACAAUGGGCGAAAGCCUGAUCCAGCAAUGCCGCGUGUGUGAAGAAGGCCUUCGGGUUGUAAAGCACUUUUGUCCGGAAAGAAAUCCUUGGCCCUAAUACGGUCGGGGAUGACGGUACCGGAAGAAUAAGCACCGGCUAACUACGUG